rnacentral:misc_RNA from 1 species
GAUGAAGAACGUAGCGAAAUGCGAUAAGUAAUGUGAAUUGCAGAAUUCAGUGAAUCAUCGAAUCUUUGAACGCACAUUGCGCCCGCCAGUAUUCUGGCGGGCAUGCCUGUCCGAGCGUCAUUUCAACCCUCGAACCCCUCCGGGGGGUCGGCGUUGGGGAUCGGCCCUUUCACCGGGUGCCGGCCCCUAAAUACAGUGGCGGUCUCGCCGCAGCCUCUCAUGCGCAGUAGUUUGCACACUCGCACCGGGAGCGCGGCGCGUCCUCGUCCGUAAAACACCCCAAACUUCUGAAAUGUUGACCUCGGAUCAGGUAGGAAUACCCGCUGAACUUAAGCAUAUCAAAAGCGGAGGA